rnacentral:rRNA from 1 species
UACGUAGGGGGCUAGCGUUGUCCGGAAUCAUUGGGCGUAAAGCGCGUGUAGGCGGCUCGGUAAGUCCGCUCUGAAAGUCGGGGGCUCAACCCUCGGAUGCGGGUGGAUACUGUCGAGCUUGAGUGCGGAAGAGGCGAGUGGAAUUCCUGGUGUAGCGGUGAAAUGCGCAGAUAUCGGGAGGAACACCAAUGGCGAAGGCAGCUCGCUGGGACGUUACUGACGCUGAGACGCGAAAGCGUGGGGAGCAAACAGG